rnacentral:rRNA from 1 species
UGAGUAACACGUAUCCAACCUGCCGUCUACUCUUGGACAGCCUUCUGAAAGGAAGAUUAAUACAAGAUGGCAUCAUGAGUUCACAUGUUCACAUGAUUAAAGGUAUUCCGGUAGACGAUGGGGAUGCGUUCCAUUAGAUAGUAGGCGGGGUAACGGCCCACCUAGUCUUCGAUGGAUAGGGGUUCUGAGAGGAAGGUCCCCCACAUUGGAACUGAGGCACGGUCCAA